UACGAAGGGGGCUAGCGUUGCUCGGAAUUACUGGGCGUAAAGGGCGCGUAGGCGGACAGUUAAGUUGGGGGUGAAAGCCCGGGGCUCAACCUCGGAAUUGCCUUCAAUACUGGCUGUCUUGAGUGUGAGAGAGGUGUGUGGAACUCCGAGUGUAGAGGUGAAAUUCGUAGAUAUUCGGAAGAACACCAGUGGCGAAGGCGACACACUGGCUCACUACUGACGCUGAGGCGCGGAAAGCGUGGGGAGCAAACAGG
rnacentral:rRNA from 1 species